GUUUUAAACUCUCAAAAUCAAAAUGCAUAAUCCAUUGAUGUCUAACAUUUCAUAGCAGUGAGAUGAAUGGUUUUAAGGCAAGUCCCAAAUGGGGUAACAGGUAAAGCCUGUUUAGCAAGAAAAUCUUAUAGUUACAUCUUAUAUCUUUAGUACCCCCCCCCGACCCCCCACCCCUUCUUGUGGGUCAGAACUCAUAUAUAUGCAGCUGCCAAUUUCACCAGAUGCAAAAUUUCAUCUAUGCACCUUAUUUCAAAAUCAUUAUGUUCAAACGCAACUCUGUCAAGAAUGUGAAGGGUCUUGCGAUUUUACCCUACUUACAAGCUGACAAGUCAGCAUGCCAGGGUUUCUAGGAUGCUGGCAGAAGAAAAAAGCUCCCUGGGUCAGCAACAGAGUACACGUCAGUAUUUUCAGCAAUAAUAGUAGCCAGGGUAUUAUCAUUUCUUGCUCAGCUUCCUUGGGGCCCCUGUUUCCCCUGGAGUCACAUGAGAGGGUCCAGGAAGUACAUGACACAUAGUGGGCUCCAGGAAGAGAGGAGAAGUCUGAGGUCAGAAAACCCCGAUUCUUUAUAAUGGGAUGCAAACAAACCUGCCCAAUCUUUGCGCACUGGAUGGAGCUGUUAUUUUUAUGACGCUGGACAGUAAAGAAACCUGCCCUUUGCCCCAGAGGAGAGACACUUCUUCUUCCAAGGCUGUUCACUAAACAAUCAUCCUUGAGGAGACAAUCCCCAACAGAACGGUACCAUGCUUUUCUGUCCACGAGACGUGAAGAAACACAAGAGACCCACAGAAACCUGUCUCCAAACAAAGCUCAUCUUACUAUGUAUUCCUGCACAGAGGUCACAUGGAAAAGAGACACCUGCUUUAGCAGGAGGUCAGGAAAAAGACCACAUGAUGCUCUUGGCUGACGACAGGGGUUCAAAAACUUAACCGCAUCAAAUUACAUCUGCUUGUUUCUUUCUCUAAAUCCUACAAUGGCCUACAUCCAGAAUAAGACCUUUUUUAAUUUUUUUUGUCUUUUCGCCUUUUCUAGGGCCGCUUCCGAGGCAUAUGGAGGUUCCCAGGCUAGGGGUCGAAUCGGAGUUGUAGCCGCCGGCCUACACCAGAGCCACAGCAACACGGGAUCUGAGCUACAUCUGCGACCUACACCACAGCUCACGGCAACGCUGGACCCUUAACCCACUGAGCGAGGCCAGGGAUGGAACCCGCAACCUCAUGAGUCCUAGUCGGAAUCGUUAACCACUGCGUCAAGACAGGAACUCCUUUUUCUUUUUUUGCCACACCACACUGCCUCGAUAUUAAAAGAUUCACUAUUUUAUUAAUGGUUCCAAGUAUCAGUUUUGAGUCCUAGGUUUUUCCCUGAGGACACUAUAUUAGCCCCAAAUAGGUAACACUCAGAAAGCAUGCCUGAUGAUGUUCCGAAGCAUUUUUCUUUAUAACAAGCUCCUAAGAGUAUGGAAAACAGUGAACCGCAAGGUGAUGCCAUUGCUGAUAAAUGUGCAAAAUAUGGUUGUUUUUCUUAAUCUUAAUGAAAAAAUGGAAAUGAAGCUCCACAUUUUCCCACCUCUACCCCAAACCAAGGCCAGUCCAUUAAUUUCGUGACAAGAAGAGUGGAGUCUCUGAAUUUCAAAUUCUCCUUUUUCCCUUAAUUGGAUAUAGACAAGCGGGUGCAAGGGCACGUCUACCAGAAGCAAAAGGAACAGAGCAAAAUGCCGGUCUUAACACCACACACCACUCAGCUGCACGUUUCCUGAGGAAAAGUGAAGGGUUCUAUUUAAUGCUAAGAAGUUCUGUUUUAGCCCCAAAUUACUUCUUAAAAUUAUCAGAUAAAUGUAAGCCCUAACACUGCAUGUUUCAAAGGGCGGUCAAGUGUAUCUCAAGUUGUCUGUUCCCUUGCUGGAAGGUUCGUUUUCCAGGUUCGUUCUCCAAGUGAUCCACAUUCCGUUUAUUCACCACGGAAAUGCUACCGUUUAGUAAACGCCAGAGCUGGGCUGCCGUGAAGAUCAUCAGUGAGGUAAGAAAAAUACUAUUCUGACUCUCUUAAAAGGUCUUUUUCUCUGAUUUUAUUUCUUUGUUAUUUUAUUUUACUUUAUUUUAUUUUUGGUUUUUAGGGUUGCACCAAGGCAUAUGGAAGUUCCCAGGCAAGGGGUC
ensembl:lncRNA